GCACGGCCCUUACGUCCAGGGCUACACACGUGUUACAAUGGUCGGUACAAAGGGCAGCUACACCGCGAGGUGAUGCUAAUCUCUAAAGCCGGUCUCAGGUUCGGAUCGAAGUCUGCAACCCGACUUCGUGAAGUUGGAUUCGCUAGUAAUCGCGCAUCAGCCAUGGCGCGGUGAAUACGUUCCCGGGCCUU
rnacentral:rRNA from 1 species